rnacentral:rRNA from 1 species
CAUUUCUAGCUUGCUAGAAGAUGACGAGCGGCGGACGGGUGAGUAAUACUUAGGAAUCUACCUAGUAGUGGGGGAUAGCACGGGGAAACUCGUAUUAAUACCGCAUACGACCUACGGGAGAAAGGGGGCAGUUUACUGCUCUCGCUAUUAGAUGAGCCUAAGUCGGAUUAGCUAGAUGGUGGGGUAAAGGCCUACCAUGGCGACGAUCUGUAGCUGGUCUGAGAGGAUGAUCAGCCACACCGGGACUGAGACACGGCCCGGACUCCUACGGGAGGCAGCAGUGGGGAAUAUUGGACAAUGGGGGAAACCCUGAUCCAGCCAUGCCGCGUGUGUGAAGAAGGCCUUUUGGUUGUAAAGCACUUUAAGCAGUGAAGAAGACUCUGUGGUUAAUACCCACAGACGAUGACAUUAGCUGCAGAAUAAGCACCGGCUAACUCUGUGCCAGCAGCCGCGGUAAUACAGAGGGUGCAAGCGUUAAUCGGAAUUACUGGGCGUAAAGGGAGCGUAGGUGGCUCGAUAAGUCAGAUGUGAAAUCCCCGGGCUCAACCUGGGAACUGCAUCUGAUACUGUCGUGCUAGAGUAUGUGAGAGGAAGGUAGAAUUCCAGGUGUAGCGGUGAAAUGCGUAGAGAUCUGGAGGAAUACCGAUGGCGAAGGCAGCCUUCUGGCAUAAUACUGACACUGAGGCUCGAAAGCGUGGGUAGCAAACAGGAUUAGAUACCCUGGUAGUCCACGCCGUAAACGAUGUCUACUAGUCGUUGGGUCCCUUGAGGACUUAGUGACGCAGCUAACGCAAUAAGUAGACCGCCUGGGGAGUACGGCCGCAAGGUUAAAACUCAAAUGAAUUGACGGGGGCCCGCACAAGCGGUGGAGCAUGUGGUUUAAUUCGAUGCAACGCGAAGAACCUUACCUGGUCUUGACAUAUCUAGAAUCCUGCAGAGAUGCGGGAGUGCCUUCGGGAAUUAGAAUACAGGUGCUGCAUGGCUGUCGUCAGCUCGUGUCGUGAGAUGUUGGGUUAAGUCCCGCAACGAGCGCAACCCUUGUCCUUAGUUACCAGCGGGUUAAGCCGGGAACUCUAAGGAUACUGCCAGUGACAAACUGGAGGAAGGCGGGGACGACGUCAAGUCAUCAUGGCCCUUACGACCAGGGCUACACACGUGCUACAAUGGUAGGUACAGAGGGCAGCUACACAGCGAUGUGAUGCGAAUCUCAAAAAGCCUAUCGUAGUCCAGAUUGGAGUCUGCAACUCGACUCCAUGAAGUAGGAAUCGCUAGUAAUCGCGGAUCAGAAUGCCGCGGUGAAUACGUUCCCGGGCCUUGUACACACCGCCCGUCACACCAUGGGAGUUGAUUGCACCAGAAGUGGAUAGC